ACUCUGGUAUUGAUUGGUGCUUGCAUCAUGAUUUACAUUUGAGUGAGUGGCGAACUGGUGAGUAACACGUGGGAAACCUGCCCAGAAGCGGGGGAUAACACCUGGAAACAGAUGCUAAUACCGCAUAACAACUUGGACCGCAUGGUCCGAGCUUGAAAGAUGGCUUCGGCUAUCACUUUUGGAUGGUCCCGCGGCGUAUUAGCUAGAUGGUGGGGUAACGGCUCACCAUGGCAAUGAUACGUAGCCGACCUGAGAGGGUAAUCGGCCACAUUGGGACUGAGACACGGCCCAAACUCCUACGGGAGGCAGCAGUAGGGAAUCUUCCACAAUGGACGAAAGUCUGAUGGAGCAACGCCGCGUGAGUGAAGAAGGGUUUCGGCUCGUAAAACUCUGUUGUUAAAGAAGAACAUAUCUGAGAGUAACUGUUCAGGUAUUGACGGUAUUUAACCAGAAAGCCACGGCUAACUACGUGCCAGCAGCCGCGGUAAUACGUAGGUGGCAAGCGUUGUCCGGAUUUAUUGGGCGUAAAGCGAGCGCAGGCGGUUUUUUAAGUCUGAUGUGAAAGCCUUCGGCUCAACCGAAGAAGUGCAUCGGAAACUGGGAAACUUGAGUGCAGAAGAGGACAGUGGAACUCCAUGUGUAGCGGUGAAAUGCGUAGAUAUAUGGAAGAACACCAGUGGCGAAGGCGGCUGUCUGGUCUGUAACUGACGCUGAGGCUCGAAAGUAUGGGUAGCAAACAGGAUUAGAUACCCUGGUAGUCCAUACCGUAAACGAUGAAUGCUAAGUGUUGGAGGGUUUCCGCCCUUCAGUGCUGCAGCUAACGCAUUAAGCAUUCCGCCUGGGGAGUACGGCCGCAAGGCUGAAACUCAAAGGAAUUGACGGGGGCCCGCACAAGCGGUGGAGCAUGUGGUUUAAUUCGAAGCUACGCGAAGAACCUUACCAGGUCUUGACAUACUAUGCAAAUCUAAGAGAUUAGACGUUCCCUUCGGGGACAUGGAUACAGGUGGUGCAUGGUUGUCGUCAGCUCGUGUCGUGAGAUGUUGGGUUAAGUCCCGCAACGAGCGCAACCCUUAUUAUCAGUUGCCAGCAUUAAGUUGGGCACUCUGGUGAGACUGCCGGUGACAAACCGGAGGAAGGUGGGGAUGACGUCAAAUCAUCAUGCCCCUUAUGACCUGGGCUACACACGUGCUACAAUGGAUGGUACAACGAGUUGCGAACUCGCGAGAGUAAGCUAAUCUCUUAAAGCCAUUCUCAGUUCGGAUUGUAGGCUGCAACUCGCCUACAUGAAGUCGGAAUCGCUAGUAAUCGCGGAUCAGCAUGCCGCGGUGAAUACGUUCCCGGGCCUUGUACACACCGCCCGUCACACCAUGAGAGUUUGUAACACCCAAAGUCGGUGGGGUAACCUUUUAGGAACCAGCCGCCUAAGGUG
rnacentral:rRNA from 2 species